CCUACGGGAGGCUGCAGUGAGGAAUAUUGGUCAAUGGACGAGAGUCUGAACCAGCCAAGUAGCGUGAAGGAUGACUGCCCUAUGGGUUGUAAACUUCUUUUAUAAAGGAAUAAAACGAGGCACGUGUGCCUUUUUGCAUGUACUUUAUGAAUAAGGAUCGGCUAACUCCGUGCCAGCAGCCGCGGUAAUACGGAGGAUCCGAGCGUUAUCCGGAUUUAUUGGGUUUAAAGGGAGCGUAGAUGGGUUGUUAAGUCAGUUGUGAAAGUUUGCGGCUCAACCGUAAAAUUGCAAUUGAUACUGGAAGUCUUGAGUACAGUUGAGGUAGGCGGAAUUCGUGGUGUAGCGGUGAAAUGCUUAGAUAUCACGAAGAACCCCGAUUGCGAAGGCAGCUUACUAAACUGUGACUGACAUUGAUGCUCGAAAGUGUGGGUAUCAAACAGGAUUAGAUACCCGGGUAGUC
rnacentral:rRNA from 1 species